CCUACGGGGGGCAGCAGUGAGGAAUAUUGGUCAAUGGGCGCGAGCCUGACCCAGCCACGUCGCGUGAAGGAUGACUGCCCUACGGGUUGUAAACUUCUUUUAUAAAGGAAUACAGUGAUGCACGUGUGCCUUUUUGUAUGUACUUUAUGAAUAAGGAUCGGCUAACUCCGUGUCAGCAGCCGCGGUAAUACGGAGGAUCCGAGCGUUAUCCGGAUUUAUUGGGUUUAAAGGGAGCGUAGAUGGGUUGUUAAGUCAGUUGUGAAAGUUUGCGGCUCAAACGUAAAAUUGCAAUUUAUACUGGCAGCCUUGAGUGCAGGAGAGGUAAGCGGAAUUCGUGGUGUAGCGGUGAAAUGCUUAGAUAUCACGAAGAACACCGAUUGCGAAGGCAGCUUACUAAACUGCCACUGACAUUGAUGCUCGAAAGUGUGGGUAUCAAACAGGAUUGGAUACCCGGGUAGUC
rnacentral:rRNA from 1 species